GCAUAUCAAUAAGCGGAGGAAAAGAAACCAACGGGGAUUGCCUUAGUAACGGCGAGUGAAGCGGCAAGAGCUCAAAUUUGAAAUCCCCUUGGGGAGUUGUAAUUUGUAGGUUGUGACCUGAGCAAGCAACACAAGUCUCCUGGAACGGAGUGCCUUAGAGGGUGAGAGCCCCGUAAGUUGUAGCUCAUUGUAGGUUGCUUCCAAAGAGUCGAGUUGUUUGGGAAUGCAGCUCUAAGUGGGUGGUAAAUUCCAUCUAAAGCUAAAUAUUGGCGAGAGACCGAUAGCGAACAAGUACAGUGAUGGAAAGAUGAAAAGAACUUUGAAAAGAGAGUGAAAAAGUACGUGAAAUUGUUAAAAGGGAAGGGUACUAACUGAGACUUGGAGGUUAUGUUCAGCUGCCGUUCGCGGUAGUGUAUUCAUUUCUUCUAGGCCAGGGAGAGGUAUUGGGGUAAGAAAAAGAGGUAGGAAAGUGGCUCCUCGGAGUGUUAUAGCCUACUUUAAUAUUGCCACUGGUGCCUCAGGACUGCGCUUCGGCAAGGUCUCUGGCGUAAUCAUUUAGUACCGCCCGUCUUGAAACACGGACC
rnacentral:rRNA from 1 species